AUGUACUCUGUGGCUCUGUUACUGCUGCUAACUGCUGGAUCCUGUGUGUUCUGUAUUGAUCUCAUCCAGCCAGACUCUAAAGUUGUGCAGCCUGGACAGUCUCUGACUAUCACCUGUCAGCCCUCUGGUUACUCUAUAACUGAUAACAGCUAUGCAACAGGUUGGAUCAGACAUCGGGAAGGAAAAGCAAUGGAAUGGAUCUUUCAUAUGUGGGGUGGUGGGAACUUUUACCAAAAUAAUGCUCUGAAGAACAAGUUCAGCUACAGCAGAGACACUUCUGCUGGAACAGUAACAAUAACAGGACAGAAUCUACAGCCUGAAGACACAGCUGUUUAUUACUGUGUGAGGCGGCACAGUGAUACAAACCACAGAGGAGGCUGUGCAAAAACAAAACCUGAUUUGCCUGGAAACCUGAAACACUGA